UACGAACUGCGCAAACGUUAUUCGGAAUCACUGGGCUUAAAGAGUCCGUAGGCGGCUUUGUAGGUGAGGUGUGAAAUCCCACGGCUCAACCGUGGAAUUGCGCUUCAAACCGCAUCGCUAGAGUGAGAUAGAGGAGAGCGGAACUCACGGUGGAGCGGUGAAAUGCGUUGAUAUCGUGAGGAACACCGGUGGCGAAAGCGGCUCUCUGGGUCUUUUCUGACGCUGAGGGACGAAAGCUAGGGGAGCGAACGGG
rnacentral:misc_RNA from 1 species